rnacentral:lncRNA from 1 species
AAGCUGAUAUUUUUUGUAAACUAUGUGUUCCUUUUACCACUUUGUUACCUUUAGUUUUAUCUCAAAAAGUAUCUGGUCAAUUAUGCACAUGCUUGCGAAUUCGCAUACAUGCCGAUUAGAGCAACAUCAAAAUUACACCAAAAAGACCACUUUCACUAUGGGAAAAAGCUCCAUUUUUUCAUACCGAAGUCCUCACAUAUACUACCUACAGAAAAAACAACUCGAGAAAAGCUCCAUUUUCUCAUGGCACUAGAUCUUGGAGACAUAAAGGAACAGUUGGUAGGCAAACUUUGUACCCUGUUGAAAACAAUGCAAGAGAAUCGGAAAAUUCACCUGAAAAAUGUUGAAUAUAUGAUUUGUUUAUUUAAGAUUGUAUAGUUAAGAUUGAGACCCACUUUGUACUCUAUAGUCUAUAUAUACAUGUGCUACGCACCGAUCAAUACGUUGUGAAGCAUUGCCAAAC